UGAUCUGUGGCUUAGUUGGUUGCAGUGCCAGUAUUGCGAAUACGGAGUCGUGGGUUCGAAUCCCACCAGAACGC
rnacentral:tRNA from 1 species